rnacentral:tRNA from 1 species
GCGGGUGUAGUACAACGGCCAGUAUGCUCGCCUUCCAAGCAAGAGACGGGAGUUCGACUCUCCCCACCCGCA